GAUGAACGCUGGCGGCGUGCCUAAUACAUGUAAGUCGAGCGAACGGACGAGAAGCCUGCUUCUCUGAUGCUAGCGGCGGAAGGGCGAGUAACACGUGGAUAACCUACCUAUAAGACUGGGACAACUUCGGGAAACCGGAGCUAAUACCGGAUAAUAUUUUCAACCGCAUGGUUAAAAAGUGAAAGACGCUCUUGCUGUCACAUAUAGAUGGAUCCGCGCGGCAUUAGCUAGUCGGUAAGGGAACGGCUUACCAAGGCAACGAUGCAUAGCCGACCUGAGAGGGGAACCUGCCCCCCUGGAACUAGGACACGGUCCAGACCCCUACGGGAGUCAGCAGCAGGGAAUCGUCCGCAAUGGGCUCAAGCCUGACGGAGCCCCGCGGCAUGCGUGAUGAAGGUCUUCGGCUCGUAAAACUCUGUUAUUAGGGAAGACCAUAUGUGUAAGUACCUUUGCACAUCUUGACGGUACCUAAUCAGAAAGCCACGGCUAACUACGUG
rnacentral:rRNA from 1 species